GACGAACGCUGGCGGCGUGCUUAACACAUGCAAGUCGAACGGAAAGGCCCUGCUUUUGUGGGGUGCCCGAGUGGCGAACGGGUGAGUAACACGUGAGUAACCUGCCCUUGAUUUUGGGGUAACUUCAGGAAACGGGGGCUAAUCCCGGACAGGAUCCCCUCUUCCAUGGUGGGGGGUGGAAAGUUUCGGCGGUCGGGGAUGGACUCGCGGCUUAUCGGCUUGUUGGGUGGGUGGUGGCUUACCAAGGCUUUGACCGGUAGCCGGCCUGGGAGGGUGACCGGCCACAUUGGGACUGAGAUACGGCCCAGACUCCUACGGGAGGCAGCAGUGGGGAAUAUUGCACAAUGGGCGGAAGCCUGAUGCAGCAACGCCGCGUGCGGGAUGACGGCCUUCGGGUUGUAAACCGCUUUCGCCUGUGACGAAGCGUGAGUGACGGUAAUGGGUAAAGAAGCACCGGCUAACUACGUG
rnacentral:rRNA from 1 species